UUCGACUUUUUUUUGUCCGCGGGUAAUCCGUGUGUUGUGGUAACCGGAUUCCGUUGCCACAGCAACACGUGAGAAAGCUGCAAAGUUAGGCCGGUAAGUCGUAAGCGCUUGUACACACAAGAGGUGGGACUUUUUAAUUAGCGCCGCGAAGCCUGUCAUCCGACCUGCCCGGGCAUUUUGCGAAGAACAAACAAACUGUGCAUGGACGUUGGCAAAGCUGUCUUGUGAGAAAAGAUGCACUGUACGUGCAUUUGUUCUGAAAGACCAAACACAACAAAGUAAGAGGGGACGUCAGUUAUGACGAAGGCCCGUGUUGUUCUAGGCACAGGGCGUAACGGUAACAGGUUGGUGGUAUUCCCUACAAAAACCGACCAGCCGACGAUAGAAACGACACGAUGAUGAAAGAAGUCUUUGACAUCCCUCAGUUCUGCGAAACCCCCGCCUCUCGCCUUGCCUUGUUUCAUGAGAAAGGUUGGAGGUUGAAAUCGCGCAUGGUGGCAGAGUGAUGGGAGAUGGCGCAUACCACACACACAUAUAUAUAGCAACAUGCCAUAUACAGCACAUAAAACGCCGGCAUAGACAUACCAGGUUUGCACAUGACACCUUUUAAAGUCACCAAGGAUCGCCCGAACCACCUGCUCCCAACCAUUGCGUCCCCUCCACACGCAAGCCAACGUGGGCCUAUGAAUAUCCACUUCUUAUGUAGGCUUGAAAUGCAACAAACUCAAAAUACAGCAGAUUAGAUGCUGACAAAUCCGCUAAGGCAACUCCCAAACAUAUUCAUCCAGCUCUUCCCAGGCAGAACUCGUAGGUUGGCACAGCUCACAUGCGGGCGGCUAGAGACUUUAUCUCCUCUAAAUACACGACUUUCCGUCUUGGGGACAUUUUGGGCGAGACUUCGGGAGGAGAAACUAAGCUUGCAACUAAGUGGCGGUCUACCUAGAAUAGGUGCUCAUGAUGUUGGCGCGUUCUUCUCGAGUUAAAACUGCAUCAAAGAGUAUGUACAACUCCGUCCGUCCAACGUACUGUACAUUGGAGAUCAUUGGAGAAAGGAGGUUAUAUAGGGCUAUAUAAUUGGAGAAAGGAUAAUCGCUUCAAGAAGUCUGGUACAUCUUCAACCGAGUGUCUUCCGAUCUGUCAACGGUCUUCUGAUGCGUCUUGUCUACGAUCGGAACAACCAAAGAAGACUAAAGAAGGAUGAAGAAGUCUACAAAGGCUUUUUUACUACACCUGUCCAAGACACUACAUUGGUUUCAUUUCUUGUGGUCAGGAAAAGUUUCGGUUCUUUCGGACUAUCUGGAAUUACUCGAGGACAAGAAAGCGGCGACGAUAUGACAAGCCUCGAGUCGACGUUAUCGAAUCUGGACAUAACGCCAUCAACGUUGCACAGACUGAAAGGUACCUGAUAUACCGUUUCAACCGCACGCCAUGAGUCCGAUCAAAACUCGACUGGACAAUGCCAUUAUGGAAACUUCGUUAGUUCGCAUAGCUCAGGUCUAAUGUUAACGAGAUUGUUCAGAGCCAGGUCAUUAGACCACUUCAAGGCAAUGAACUAAGACGUUGGAAAUACUUGUACAGAGAGAUAGCGGUGGACAUUUGUUUUGAAGGCCGUAAGUUGUAGACAAGAGGGAAGCAGUUUUCAUCGAGGGAGUUCCAUAAUUCGGUUGUCGGGGAAAGAAACAGUUGCUGUAGAAGGACUUGGAAACCGGCAAUUGAACAGUAUAGUGAUGUGAAUUUGAAGAAAACCUAGUAUUGCACUGAAAGGCUCUGAGUGGAGGGACAAGUAGUGUGAGAUCAUUGGAGCAAUAGCCAUGGAUGAUAAAAUACGAUGAUACAUAUACGUCAAAUGAAUCUAUAUAUGGACAUAAUUUUUGAAUAUAUAAUUUAUCAUAAAUGUUGACCAUGUGGGGUCUGGUUUCAUCUUACUGGAUUCACGCGUUUUAAGAUAAGAUGAAGAAGGGGAAACAGGAAUCAGACCAGAGUUCUAGUGGUCAUAAAGUUUCUUGUGAAAUUGUUGAUGUAAGGGCUAGCAAGUAGCCAGUAUCUUUGGCAUAUCCUCUUCUGAAGAGUGUAUGUAGUGAUCGACUAUAAUGUAUACGAAGAUUAUGCCAAUUAUUACAAGACGGUGUAGUUAUUAUUCCACAAUUUACCUACACACUGAUCUAUAGAAGUUAGGAUAUGCGGAGACCAUCUUCCAUUUCCUUGGGAAUAUUGACCCCUUUUAAUAAUUUCACAGAUUUCCUGUACAUUAAUGCCUCUUCCUUAAUCAAGUACCUGUCUGACAAUUACAACAAUGCUCAGAUUAAAGCACAUGAACAAAGCAGUAAAACGUCAUUCUGUUAAAACUAUACUUACAAAUAAAUAAGCACUUGGUCAAAACUUACACAACCUGCAAUUACGUAUAACCCUACAAACAAUGAAGUAUUGGUAGCAACUUUAACCCAGGUAUGACAACUUAGAAAUAGAAUUAAACUUCUAACAUUACAGAGUUCUCAAAAAGUGCUGCAUAUUCUUCCAGGUGGAAAAAAAACACAGAAUACUUUAAGUCUAUGAAAGAAGCAUUCAUACAUCAAAAUGAAAAUGUCCUGGGCAAUAUAGUGCUAUGAUAUGCUUUUGAACUCAUUAGUGUGUUUAGGAUGAAAUGUUGUAUGUAACAUUAUCAGUAUCCCUCAUACAAAUAUAUGUUUCAUCUAUGCCUAUGCCUAGCUCAAGGAAAGGCAUGUCUUGGACCAGCAUAUUGCAACAAUCCAUGAAACUAUACAGUUAUCUAGUCUCUACCAGACUCCUGCCUGGUUGAAUAGGGAAUAAAUGCCUGGUAGGAGUUUAUUGGCCUAGGAGUGUUGCAAACUGCCAACUAACUCCUCUGGCGUGUUUUCUGUCUUAUUUGGCCAAUUUCUACUAUUUCUCCAGCGACCUGUGGAGCCUGGUAGAGGCUAACAGUUAUCAACAUCAUCAAAUAUUUCGUUAUAUAACAGAAACGUUAGCCAAAUAAACGACUUCUUUGGCAUGUU